UACGGAGGGUGCAAGCGUUAUCCGGAUUCACUGGGUUUAAAGGGUGCGUAGGCGGGCUUGUAAGUCAGUGGUGAAAGCCCGGGGCUUAACUCCGGAAUUGCCAUUGAUACUGCAAGCCUUGAGUACAGUUGAGGUGGGCGGAAUACAUCAUGUAGAGGUGAAAUUCUUAGAGAUGAUGUAGAACACCAAUUGCGAAGGCAGCUCACUAAAGUGUAACUGACGCUGAGGCACUAAAGCAUGGGGAUCAAACAGG
rnacentral:rRNA from 1 species